rnacentral:rRNA from 1 species
GACGAUCAGAUACCAUCGUAGUCUUAACUAUAAAUGAUGCAAACCAGGGAUAGGACAGUGUCCAUCUCGACUCCUCCCGGACCUUGGAGAAAUUACAGUCUAUGGGUUCUGGGGGGAGUAUGGUCGCAAGGCUGAAACUUAAAGGAAUUGACGGAAGGGCACACAAAGAGUGGAACCUGCGGCUUAAUUUGACUCAACACGGGAAAACUCACCAGGUCCGGUUACACGUAUGAAAGUCAAGCUGAAAGACUUUACUCAAUGAUGUAAGUGGUGGUGCAUGGUCGUUCUUAGUUCGUGGAUUGAUUUAUCUGGUCUAUUCCGAUAACGAGCGAGACCCCGGCGUUCCUAAUAGGGGUGGCAGCCAAGCCGGUCGCAAGGCCGGUUAGCACGCCGCCUGAAGUUAUACUUCUUAGACGUAUCAGAGCCGACAAGGUUCUUGAAAUGGGUUAAUAACAGGUCAGUCAUGCCCUUAGAUGUUCUGGGCCGCACGCGCGUUACAAUGGCACGUA